rnacentral:rRNA from 1 species
UAGUAACUGCGAGUGAAGCGGGAAAAGCUCAAAUUUUGAAUCUGACGAUCAGUCUUGGUCGUCCGAGUUGUAAUCUAGAGAAGCGUUUUCCGCGCUGGACCGUGUACAAGUCUCCUGGAAGGGAGCGUCAUAGAGGGUGAGAAUCCCGUCUUUGACACGGACAUACCAGUGCUAUGUGAUGCGCUCUCGACGAGUCGAGUUGUUUGGGAAUGCAGCUCAAAAUGGGUGGUAAAUUCCAUCUAAAGCUAAAUACAGGCGAGAGACCGAUAGCGAACAAGUACCGUGAGGGAAAGAUGAAAAGAACUUUGGAAAGAGAGUUAAACAGUACGUGAAAUUGCUGAAAGGGAAACGCUUGAUGUCAGUCGCGUCCGCCAGGGAUCAACCUUGCUUUAUCGCUGGGUGCAUUUCUUGGU